UGGGGAAUAUUGGACAAUGGGCGAAAGCCUGAUCCAGCCAUGCCGCGUGUGUGAAGAAGGUCUUUUGGUUGUAAAGCACUUUAAGUGGGGAGGAAAAGCUUAUGGUUAAUACCCAUAAGCCCUGACGUUACCCACAGAAUAAGCACCGGCUAACUCUGUGCCAGCAGCCGCGGUAAUACAGAGGGUGCAAGCGUUAAUCGGAAUUACUGGGCGUAAAGCGCGCGUAGGUGGUUAUUUAAGUCAGAUGUGAAAGCCCCGGGCUUAACCUGGGAACUGCAUCUGAUACUGGAUAACUAGAGUAGGUGAGAGGGGAGUAGAAUUCCAGGUGUAGCGGUGAAAUGCGUAGAGAUCUGGAGGAAUACCGAUGGCGAAGGCAGCUCCCUGGCAUCAUACUGACACUGAGGUGCGAAAGCGUGGGUAGCAAACAGGAUUAGAUACCCUGGUAGUCCACGCCGUAAACGAUGUCUACCAGUCGUUGGGUCUUUUAAAGACUUAGUGACACAGUUAACGCAAUAAGUAGACCGCCUGGGGAGUACGGCCGCAAGGUUA
rnacentral:rRNA from 1 species